rnacentral:lncRNA from 1 species
GGUGGGAGGGUGGUACAUUAAUUAAUGGCUCCGUUAAUUAAUGUCAUGUUGCGUGUUGCUUUCUCAGUGUGUGUAUGGUCCAUGCCCAAUGCUGGUGGCAGGGUGGGUGUCCAUGAUGUGUGCCCAGCCUGGAUGUCAGCUGUGUCCUGUGGGGGCGUGUGUGUAACUGUAGUGUAGUCAGGUGCUCAACGGAGAAUACAAACGAAAAAAGAAACAAACGUAUACAGAAAAAUAAAUAUAUAUUUUAAGUUUAAAAAAACAAACGGAACCAGACAAAACAAUUCCCAUCAGGUAGUUGUCCACCCCCCCAGCUGGGUUCAAUCCUCUCAUCACACACCUGACCUAGCUGUCCCCUCACCAUGGGCUGGGGGACUUGGGGGCCAUUUCCUUUGCCCCGUUUUUUGUUUUGUUUUUUUUUUGUUGUUGUUUUGUUUUGUUUUGGUUGUUAUUCUAUUUUGUACAGACAAGUUGGGAAAACAACAGCGACAAAAAAAAAGUCGAGAAACUUUGUAAAAUAUUGUGUGUGUGAUUCCUUGUAAAAUAUUUUCAAAUGGUUUAUUACAGAAGAUCAGUUAUUAAAUAAUGUUCAUAUUUUCACUUCAAA